rnacentral:rRNA from 3 species
UGAGACAGGUGCUGCAUGGCUGUCGUCAGCUCGUGUUGUGAAAUGUUGGGUUAAGUCCCGCAACGAGCGCAACCCUUAUCCUUUGUUGCCAGCGGUCCGGCCGGGAACUCAAAGGAGACUGCCAGUGAUAAACUGGAGGAAGGUGGGGAUGACGUCAAGUCAUCAUGGCCCUUACGAGUAGGGCUACACACGUGCUACAAUGGCAUAUACAAAGAGAAGCGACCUCGCGAGAGCAAGCGGACCUCAUAAAGUAUGUCGUAGUCCGGAUUGGAGUCUGCAACUCGACUCCAUGAAGUCGGAAUCGCUAGUAAUCGUGGAUCAGAAUGCCACGGUGAAUACGUUCCCGGGCCUUGUACACACCGCCCGUCACACCAUGGGAGUGGGUUGCAAAAGAAGUAGGUAGCUUAACCUUCGGGAGGGCGCUUACCACUUUGUGAUUCAUGACUGGGGUGAAGUCGUAACAAGGUAACCGUAGGGGAACCUGCGGUUGGAUCACCUCCUUACCUUAAAGAA